rnacentral:rRNA from 1 species
UACGUAGGGGGCGAGCGUUGUCCGGAAUCAUUGGGCGUAAAGCGCGCGCAGGCGGCCGCGAGAGCCCGGCGUGAAAGCCCCCGGCUCAACCGGGGGAGGCCGUCGGGGACCUCGUGGCUGGAGGCCGGCAGGGGUGAGUGGAAUUCCCGGUGUAGUGGUGGAAUGCGUAGAGAUCGGGAGGAACACCAGUGGCGAAGGCGGCUCACUGGGCCGGACCUGACGCUGAGGCGCGAAAGCGUGGGGAGCGAACAGG